UCUUGCAAUGCCAGUAAUGGUGCCUCCUGUACCAGCUCCAGCCACCAGCAUGUCUAUUUUUCCUAUUUUAAGUGCAAGGAAUCAAAUAUCACCUUGAAAACAUCCAUUGGGAUUAUAGAUAAAAAUCUUAUUGCAGACGAGGAAUGCACAAGAUACAUUACUCUCUCCAAUGAAAGCGCAGUUAACGUCAGAAAGAAAUCCCAUUGAGAAGCUAAACAUGAGGUUUUAUGACACAGACCAAGAAACCUGAUGUGCAAGCUCCCUCUGCUGGCUCCAAACACAACUUACUGAUCCCAUGGCAAGAGGGACAUUCUGAUAUAAGAGACCUAGUCCUGUUAGUGUGACAGAACAAACCGUGUCAGCUACAGCCAGCCGUGUCACCACAGGUAAGGAGUCAGAGGCAUGCAAAAUACAGAUCCAAACUCAUAGGUCUCAAAAGCGGGAUUCAGACUGCAGUUCCAGCCUUCCAAGGACCUCACUCCUGCUUGGGCUGCACGAAAUUAACUUGUGCUGAGCGAUCAGCAGCUCUUGCAAGCUAAGCAGGGUCCAGCUGUAUCAGCAUUCAGAUGGGACACCUCUGAAGAACAGCUCUGUGCUGCUGGAUGCGGUGUUGGCUAGUCAAUAGGUUCACCGCAGAACUGGUGCCUCAGUAUUAUGCUCUGUACUACCUGAAGUCAUUCGGACAAAUUGUACAGCUAAGCACCUCACCACUUGGACGCACGUGGCUCUUUCCACAAGCACAACCCAUGAUGUCCUGGGCAAAUUCCAGCUUUGGGUACUCUAUUAUGUGGUACAGUAGCGUCUACAAGCCCCACUCAUGGGCCAGGAGCCAAUUCAUCCUGCCCCCCCGCAUCCUCUCUGCAGUUUCAGUUGGAUACAAGAUUGUAGAAUAAAGGUACAAGAGUUAGCAAUCCUUGUACUUCAGACCAGAAGCUGAAAAUGAAUUCCAGACUGCUCUCAUCAACUAUUCUGCUCCCCUCCCACUCACUGAAUAACUUUGAGAUUACACCUUCCUCUGAAGCAUCAGCCACUAUUGAGACAGGACGCUGGACUACUGAUCUAUUCCUACGGACUAAGGGGUAUAAAAGAUGGUCUAGUGGAUAGGGUGCUGGACUGACAUUUAGUAGAUCUGAGUUUGAUUCCCAGCUCAGACUCAUGUGACUUUUGGAAAGUCACUUAUCUGCUCUGGACAAUGGAGAAAAUACUCCCAACCUGAUGUGGGUAUAGUGAGGACAACAAAGUCCUCUAAUAGUUGUGGGGUGCUCAGGUACUAACUUCUAUAUACAUAAAAGUAAGCAUUAGUCCCUGUAACCUUAACACCCACUCUGAGCAGCACCAAGCAUCGUAUUUUCCUUCCUCAGAUGGACCCUGAGCUGGGAGCAGAACUUCUGUGAGGUUUUCUCCUCCUGUCAGGCAAGGAUGCAUUUUCUCUUUUGAAUGAGCAGCUGUCUCUGCUCCAAUCCCUCCCUUCCCUGUUCCAUAGAAGCCUUCAGACCAUGUUCCCACAGUGCUUAGCAAUCUCACUGUGACCUAGAAAUUCCUACCUGUGU